AGCGAACGCUGGCGGUGCGCCUAACACAUGCAAGUCGAGCGCGAAAGUCCCUUCGGGGGCGAGUAGAGCGGCGGACGGGUGAGUAAUACAUGGGUAAUCUACCCCCGAGCUUGGGAUAACCCCGCGAAAGCGGGGCUAAUACCUGAUAAGACCACAUAACACAAGUUGUGUGGUAAAAGGUGGCUUGAAUUUAUUCUAGCUAUCACUUGAGGAUGAGUCCAUGGCCUAUCAGCUUGUUGGUGAGGUAAGAGCUUACCAAGGCUAUGACGGGUAGCUGGUCUGAGAGGACGACCAGCCACACUGGGACUGAGACACGGCCCAGACUCCUACGGGAGGCAGCAGUGGGGAAUAUUGGGCAAUGGGCGAAAGCCUGACCCAGCGACGCCGCGUGGGUGAUGAAGGCCUUCGGGUUGUAAAACCCUUUCGUGCGGAAAGAAUAGUCCUGUAGCGAAUAACUACGGGAUUUGACGGUACCGCAGGAAGAAGCACCGGCUAACUCCGUGCCAGCACG
rnacentral:rRNA from 1 species